GGAGACAAUGGGUGCUUCAUUCGGAGUAAAGUCUCAAGGAGUCUCAUUCCUGAUUUGAAGUGACCCACAUGGGUUCACAGUUCUCUCUCAGAACACGUACUCCUUUGAUUUUCUUGAAAGCCUUUGGAAAGCCUUGGGACACCUGUAGGUUCCACUGGCAAUCAGUAUGGACUCUGUUGGAAUGUAAUGUGUCAAUUUGGUUUCAUGCCUCAUCACACUGGCAGAUAGAAGAGGGUAAUGGCUGCUUUGGGGAGUGGAGGAAGCCAAAAAGAAGGCAAAGAGUGAAGACAGAGAAACAAGAUGUCAGUGGUGGUGCUGAGAAGGAAUAGAGAGACUUUUCUUCGUGCUAAGGGCCGCAGAGGGAGGAAUCCAGCUGAGGACUACACAGAAGCAUCUGGCUCCAGGAAUAACAGAUCAAAUGGUGACGAACUCCUUCAAAAUGUGACAACUUGGACAAAAGUCUGCUUAAAUCUUUCUGGAUGCAAACGAAUUUUGCCCUUUUGUGUAGAAACUAGUCCUAGCACAGAGAGAAGGGAAUUCAAUUUGGAUCUCAAGACCCCAGAGGAAGCCCUGGAUUUACUCCUUACUGGCUGUGUGAUCUUAGGGCAGCCAGAUGAAGACAGCUGAGAAGAGGAGGCCCAGUUGCAGGAAUGGGCUAAGUACUUGUGGAGGGCAGUGAAAUCAAUGGUUUGCUGCAGGCAGAAAAAAGAACAUGAAAUGGGCAACUGGGCAUUGUUUAAGCUGUUGGUUCACAUCAAGGAGCAACAAUACUAAAGAACUGGUAGAGAGAAGGCUCUAGAAACAGGAAAUAUUGGCAGGCUAGACCAAGUGCACCAAAAGUAUUUCAAAACUUUUGAGAUUAAGUGCUAGUUCAUGUCUGAGUAACACAAAACCAACAGACUGUGGCUUGGGAACCACAGCAUCAUUCUUAUGAAGGAAUUCUGGGAAAAGCUCAAGAGCUUCUCUCUCUGAGACUGUCUGCAGGCAUGCAAAUAGUGAUAAAUAUGUUUGGUCUUCUACACAUUUGCUAAAAUCUAAGCUCUGGAUGCCAGGAAACCUAGGAGAGCUGGGUUUGUUUUUUCAAAAAUAAUCACCAUUACAUUUUUGAUCACUGAAGAUGCAGACUUAUUGGAAAAAGAAUGUUUGAUUACCGAAAUGUACAGAAAGUGAGAGUUUCCCAUAAUCAACCACCCCCAUAACCACUGUUAACCAAUGUAUCUAUGCAAUUAAUUGUGUUUUUACAAAAAUGAGAUAAUAUUGUAUAUGUUGUGUGAUUUCAAUUAAAAGUGUCUUUUAUCUCAAUACUUAGAGACAAUUUUCAGUCUUAAUCUUCUUCCUUAACAAACCAACGAAAACAAGAUGUGUAUUUCCUAGUGUACUGAUUAAUAAAGUUAUUUUAACAAAUUCCUGUCGAUGAAUACGUGGGUUGUUUCUGGUCCUUCACUGUCUCAGACAGACUGUAGUAAGCAUUCUUGUGUUGUGCAUGUGCAUGGGCACUUCUAGAUCUAUACUCCUGGAUACACGUCUAGGAGUCAAAUCACAUCCAUUUCUAAAAAUUCACAUAUAAAAAUUAUGUAUAUUUUGCCAAACUACCCUGGGAUAGCUGUUAAGGGAGCUGAAAAUUGCCCCUGUAGCAGGGGUUCUUAUCUUGGAUGACAUGACCCGUGGAUAUGAUCAGAGUGUCUGUGAACAGCAUUGGGAAAACAAUUAGCAUCUUUAUUUUCUCUGUGUCUACCUGAAUUUUAGCGUGCCCUUCAGUUAGUAGUGAUGACAGCAACCAACCACAGUAUUAGCAGUAGCUGUGAUUUUGUCACUAAUAGAAUUCACAGAUAUUUUCAAUGUUGUUGCCAAUAUCUUGAAAUGUUGUUUAUGCCUUUCACUACUUUAAAAUUAUGGUAGUUAUGAGUCCUGCCAGUACAUCUGGUUAUUUAAUGUGUUUAAAAAGAAGAUAUAUUUCUAUGCCACAGAUUUUUAAAAGUUUGAUAAAUAUAUUUCAAUACAUUUCUUCAUUUGUAACAUUAUGUAGUUUAUUUUAUGUUUUUAAAAGCGUUAUUAUGACAAAUGGUCCUGAGCUUUCACGAGACUGUCAGAAUCUGUGGCACGAGAAGGUUCAAAUUCCCAUGACUUAGAGUCAUAAGAAUUGAGAAUUAUAAUAACAAUGAGAAAAAACAUUUAUGAUGCUAUGACACGCUAGACACUGUUCUAAGCAUUUUACUUAUAUUAACUCAUUUAAUCUUUACAACAACCCAACUAGGAAGUAACCUAUUUUCAUUUUAA
ensembl:lncRNA